GCUGCGGGGCGCAGAGGGGCUGCGGUCUGCGCCGGCAGCCGCCGUGGCACCGAGCCCGGCGGCUUUCCCUGCGCGGUCCAUGGGGUAUGCACAUGGCUCGAGUGCCGUAACAAGAGUGUAGCUUUGGCAGUGUAAGUUAGCCCCUUUUGGAAGUAACUUGUGUUUGGAAAACAUGCUCUAUGCAUGCUGGGGUGCGGGCAGCUCAGGCUGGCCUUGUUUCGUUUGUAUUACGUUAUUUGCGAGCUCAGGAUAGACAAAAGGCCUCCCCAGUGCUGCCAGUAGGCUAGGAAGAAGUCUACUAGCUCCAUACUUUUAUUAUCAUUGGGCUGUUGUCAUAAAAAUACCCCAAACAACUCAAAAACCUAUCCAAAAGCAAAACAAGAAAAUGCUACUCCUUUCAAUGCCCCCGGAUUGCUGUCAUCUGCAAGCAGUCAUCAAUGCAUUCAGUGCUUGUGCAUGAAGAUUGCUUAGCCGUGCUGGCAGACAGAAGAGACAAUCUAAAAUCUGAAGGAUUUGUCCAAAUUCCGUGGAAUAAAUUGUAUCCAGAAAACUUUCCAGGACCUGUGAGAUAGAAUCUGGACUUGAGAAAGAUCAUCAGAAUGGUUGGAUGGUUGGAGCAUUGAGACCCAGUAAGCUCCAAAUUAGGAAAAACCAAGCAGAGGACUUCUAGUUGUUACUCUGACAAGUGCUCUGAGUGCUUUUCUCUAUUGGACAAUCCACAUGAAUUAUUUAAAUAUUUAAAUUUAUUUAAAUUAUUUACAUUGUGUAUUUUGAUAACUCUCUAUUGAAACUUGUUCCUUUUUGUAAAUAUUUUUCCUCUCAUACAACUAGUAUGAGAGUAGUCCACUAUUUGUGUGUAGGUGGUCUUGAGAAGCAUUCACCAAUGAUAUAGUUUUUCUUAAUAGUAAUUUCAAUCUCCCAAAUUUGAGGAAGAUAUAAGAAAAAAAAAUGCACUUAUACAAAAAAUAUGGUUACACAGAAUAAAAUCAAGUUUCCCUCCUGCAGUUUCCCCAAAGUUAGUAUAUCAGGCUUUAGUUACUACUUUAUAACUACUGUUUGUUUCCAGUAGAAGCUGAGUAAAUGGUUACUGAACUUUGUCCUGAGAAACAAUAAAUGUGGACAAUUUCAAAUCAAAGACUGGGGGUGUUUGAUUCUGUAAUUCAACUUGUCAUUGAGCUGUUUGUUAACAGCUUCACGUCUUUCAGUGUAAUGAUGUUCAGAUUUUACUAUUGUCUAGGUAACAAAUGUUAAAAUAUUGAUGGCAGUGGUAUUUACUGUAAGUAUGCUGUAAAUUAAUACCUUUUCCAUUGUUACUGCUUGUAAAGCUGAACUACAGUAAGAGUUGAUCUGUCCAUUGUUUUAUUAAAGUUCCCUAUUUCCUGGGUUUGGGAUGAAAUCCAGCUGUUUUGGAUUCCUUCAUAGAAUAAAAAUGUUUUCUAUUCUGGUAAUAAGUGUUUCUCAGGAAGAAGAGAAAAGUUUUGUUAUCAUUUUAGGAUUUCUCUAGUCUGCCUGUUGCUAGUAUUGAUAGACAAUGCCUCUUCAGGUUAUAGCCUUGUCAGAAGUCUGCUUUUUAAAAAUAUUCUACCUUUGCUGAAUUGCUUCAUUUGUUGUCCUAUUACAUUAAAUAACUACCUCAACAAAUUCCA